rnacentral:rRNA from 1 species
UUAGAUACCCGGGUAGUCCCAGCCGUAAACCCAUGGGCGCUUGGCGUCGUCCUCGUGGCGGUGCCGCAGCUNAACGCGGUAAGCGCCUCGCCUGGGGAGUACGGGCGCAAGCCUGAAACUCAAAGGAAUUGGCGGGGGCCCGCACAACCGGUGGAGCGUCUGGUUCAAUUCGAUGCUAACCGAAAAACCUUACCCGGGCUUGACAUGGUGGGAAACCCUUGCGAAAGCGAGGGGUGCCGUCCUCUGGACGGAAUCCCACCACAGGUGGUGCAUGGCCGUCGUCAGCUCGUGUCGUGAGAUGUUGGGUUAAGUCCCGCAACGAGCGCAACCCCUGCCCUUAGUUGCUACCCCGAAUGGGGAGCACUCUAAGGGGACUGCCGGCGAUAAGCCGGAGGAAGGUGGGGAUGACGUCAGGUCAGUAUGCCCUUUAUGCCCGGGGCAACACAGGCGCUACAGUGGCCAGGACAAUGGGAUGCAACCCAGCAAUGGGGAGCAAAUCCCCCAAACCUGGUCAUGGUGCAGAUUGAGGGCUGAAACUCGCCCUCAUGAAGCCGGAAUCGGUAGUAAUGGCGGAUCAGCUAAGCCGCCGUGAAUACGUUCUCGGGCCUUGCACACACCGCCCGUCACGCCACGGAAGUCAGUCUUCCCGGAAGCUCCCGAGC